CAGGGCAACGGCCGAGCCACGCGGCAAAAUCCGGACGCAGCUAAACCUUCCAAGCCUCGUGCUGGGGUCCUGGCUUACCCUACAGCACUUGUUCUGAUCCACUGGUUGUUUAAGAGUGUGUUAAUUUCUCCAAAAACAGAAGGAAAAAAGGGUGGAGCAAGAAGUGGAGCCAAAAGAUUGGAAGACAGAGACGUGCUCUGCCCGCCCUGGAAGAACGUGAACAUCCUCGCUGUGAGCUGCUUAUGCGACACACGUGCCAAGGAACCACAAACAGCCUCUAAGAGCUAAGAAUGGUCCCUGGCUGACUAGAAGGAAAUGGGAACCUCAGUCCUACAGCCACAAGAAAAUGAAUUCUGCUGGCAACCAGUGAACUUGGAUGCCCAGAUGAGAACUGCAGACAUGGCCAACAUCCUGGUUUCAGCCUGGUGAAACCCUGAGUGGAGAAUCCAGCCAUGUCAUACCCAGUUGCCUGACCUACAAGAAA